rnacentral:lncRNA from 1 species
UGGUGUUGAAUCUUCGGCCCAAAGGAGGGUCGGUAAAACGCUCCCGAACAUUGCCCCCCAGUCUCUAAUCAUAACAUAUUUAUGAUUGGAGACUUGAAAGGUCAGGACUUGAACGGUCAUGACAGCUAAUGAUGAACUGUCUGUGGAAGCCGUACAGUCACUUCUGGGUAUUUGAAACGUUGCACGCCUUUUCACGCCUGGGCCCACCUCCAGUAUUUAAUAGCCGCCUUGGGGUUCCGUGCCGUACUCCUUAUAAAAACUCCCCUUCCCCCCUCAUUAUCACUUUUACUGACUCUUUGCUUUCAAAUUCUCCGGCAAGGCGAUUUCCGGCGAGCUUAUCUCUUACCCAAUCUGCACCAUUUUCCUCCCCUGUACUGUCACUUGAGUGCUAUUUUUGCUUAACUCCCUUCCAUAACUUCUUAUUUGCAUCACAUUCUUUCUAAAUGGCCAAAUCCAGUACUAUUCCGGCCACUGAGCCUAUCACCACUACCUCCGCCGUCACCACCGGCGACCUUCUAGAGGUCGUACUGCAGGAUGCCCCUGCCGACGAC